UACGGGGGGGAGCAAGCGUUGUUCGGAUUUACUGGGCGUAAAGGGCGCGUAGGCGGCGUGACAAGUCACUUGUGAAAUCUCCGGGCUUAACUCGGAACGGUCAAGUGAUACUGUCGUGCUAGAGUACAGAAGGGGCAACUGGAAUUCUCGGUGUAGCGGUGAAAUGCGUAGAUAUCAGGAGGAACACCGAUGGCGAAGGCAGGUCUCUGGGCCGAUACUGACGCUGAGGAGCGAAAGCGUGGGGAGCGAACAGG
rnacentral:rRNA from 1 species